rnacentral:rRNA from 1 species
UACAGAGGGGGCAAGCGUUGUUCGGAAUUACUGGGCGUAAAGCGCGCGUAGGCGGCUACUUAAGUCGGAUGUGAAAGCCCUUGGCUCAACUGAGGAAGUGCACCCGAAACUGAGUGGCUAGAGUACGAAAGAGGGUCGCGGAAUUCCCGGUGUAGAGGUGAAAUGCGUAGAGAUCGGCAGGAACACCCAGGGGGAAACCAGUCGACUGGGCAUCUACUGACGCUGAGGUGCGAGAGCGUGGGGAGCGAACCGG